ACGAGCGCAACCUUGGUCUGUAGUGGGCAUGUUGAAGUUGGGCACCGUGGCAGGAGUGCCAGGGAUAACCUGGAGGAAGGUGGGGAUGACGGCCGUCGAUCGUGCCACUUAUGCUUAGGGCUACGGACGUGCUACACUGGGUAGUACAGAGGGUUGCCAAGCCGUAAGGUGGAGCUAAUCCCUUAAAGCUACUCUCAGUUCGGAUUGUAGGCUUAAACUCGCCUACAUGAAGCUGGAGUUACUAGUAAUCGCAGAACAGAAUGCUGCGGUGAAUGCGUUCCCGGGUCGUGUACACACCGCCCGUCACACCACGGGAGUAGGAGACGCCCGAAGCCGAUCAUCUAACCUUUUGGAAGAUGGCGUCGAAGGUGUAAUCAAUAACUGGGGUGAAGUCGUAACAAGGUAGCCGUAUCGGAAGGUGCGGCUGGAUCACCUCCUUU
rnacentral:rRNA from 1 species